AGUGAACGCUGGCGGUAGGCCUAACACAUGCAAGUCGAACGGCAGCACAGUAAGAGCUUGCUCUUACGGGUGGCGAGUGGCGGACGGGUGAGGAAUACAUCGGAAUCUACUUUUUCGUGGGGGAUAACGUAGGGAACUUACGCUAAUACCGCAUACGACCUACGGGUGAAAGUAGGGGAUCUUCGGACCUUGCGCGAUUGAAUGAGCCGAUGUCGGAUUAGCUAGUUGGCGGGGUAAAGGCCCACCAAGGCGACGAUCCGUAGCUGGUCUGAGAGGAUGAUCAGCCACACUGGAACUGAGACACGGUCCAGACUCCUACGGGAGGCAGCAGUGGGGAAUAUUGGACAAUGGGCGCAAGCCUGAUCCAGCCAUACCGCGUGGGUGAAGAAGGCCUUCGGGUUGUAAAGCCCUUUUGUUGGGAAAGAAAAGCAGCAGGUUAAUACCCCGCUGUUCUGACGGUACCCAAAGAAUAAGCACCGGCUAACUUCGUG
rnacentral:rRNA from 1 species